rnacentral:rRNA from 1 species
UUAAGCGACUAAGCGUACACGGUGGAUGCCCUGGCAGUCAGAGGCGAUGAAGGACGUGCUAAUCUGCGAUAAGCGUCGGUAAGGUGAUAUGAACCGUUAUAACCGGCGAUUUCCGAAUGGGGAAACCCAGUGUGUUUCGACACACUAUCAUUAACUGAAUCCAUAGGUUAAUGAGGCGAACCGGGGGAACUGAAACAUCUAAGUACCCCGAGGAAAAGAAAUCAACCGAGAUUCCCCCAGUAGCGGCGAGCGAACGGGGAGCAGCCCAGAGCCUGAAUCAGUGUGUGUGUUAGUGGAAGCGUCUGGAAAGGCGCGCGAUACAGGGUGACAGCCCCGUACACAAAAAUGCACAUGCUGUGAGCUCGAUGAGUAGGGCGGGACACGUGGUAUCCUGUCUGAAUAUGGGGGGACCAUCCUCCAAGGCUAAAUACUCCUGACUGACCGAUAGUGAACCAGUACCGUGAGGGAAAGGCGAAAAGAACCCCGGCGAGGGGAGUGAAAAAGAACCUGAAACCGUGUACGUACAAGCAGUGGGAGCACGCUUAGGCGUGUGACUGCGUACCUUUUGUAUAAUGGGUCAGCGACUUAUAUUCUGUAGCAAGGUUAACCGAAUAGGGGAGCCGAAGGGAAACCGAGUCUUAACUGGGCGUUAAGUUGCAGGGUAUAGACCCGAAACCCGGUGAUCUAGCCAUGGGCAGGUUGAAGGUUGGGUAACACUAACUGGAGGACCGAACCGACUAAUGUUGAAAAAUUAGCGGAUGACUUGUGGCUGGGGGUGAAAGGCCAAUCAAACCGGGAGAUAGCUGGUUCUCCCCGAAAGCUAUUUAGGUAGCGCCUCGUGAAUUCAUCUCCGGGGGUAGAGCACUGUUUCGGCAAGGGGGUCAUCCCGACUUACCAACCCGAUGCAAACUGCGAAUACCGGAGAAUGUUAUCACGGGAGACACACGGCGGGUGCUAACGUCCGUCGUGAAGAGGGAAACAACCCAGACCGCCAGCUAAGGUCCCAAAGUCAUGGUUAAGUGGGAAACGAUGUGGGAAGGCCCAGACAGCCAGGAUGUUGGCUUAGAAGCAGCCAUCAUUUAAAGAAAGCGUAAUAGCUCACUGGUCGAGUCGGCCUGCGCGGAAGAUGUAACGGGGCUAAACCAUGCACCGAAGCUGCGGCAGCGACACUAUGUGUUGUUGGGUAGGGGAGCGUUCUGUAAGCCUGUGAAGGUGUGCUGUGAGGCAUGCUGGAGGUAUCAGAAGUGCGAAUGCUGACAUAAGUAACGAUAAAGCGGGUGAAAAGCCCGCUCGCCGGAAGACCAAGGGUUCCUGUCCAACGUUAAUCGGGGCAGGGUGAGUCGACCCCUAAGGCGAGGCCGAAAGGCGUAGUCGAUGGGAAACAGGUUAAUAUUCCUGUACUUGGUGUUACUGCGAAGGGGGGACGGAGAAGGCUAUGUUGGCCGGGCGACGGUUGUCCCGGUUUAAGCGUGUAGGCUGGUUUUCCAGGCAAAUCCGGAAAAUCAAGGCUGAGGCGUGAUGACGAGGCACUACGGUGCUGAAGCAACAAAUGCCCUGCUUCCAGGAAAAGCCUCUAAGCAUCAGGUAACAUCAAAUCGUACCCCAAACCGACACAGGUGGUCAGGUAGAGAAUACCAAGGCGCUUGAGAGAACUCGGGUGAAGGAACUAGGCAAAAUGGUGCCGUAACUUCGGGAGAAGGCACGCUGAUAUGUAGGUGAAGUCCCUUGCGGAUGGAGCUGAAAUCAGUCGAAGAUACCAGCUGGCUGCAACUGUUUAUUAAAAACACAGCACUGUGCAAACACGAAAGUGGACGUAUACGGUGUGACGCCUGCCCGGUGCCGGAAGGUUAAUUGAUGGGGUCAGCGCAAGCGAAGCUCUUGAUCGAAGCCCCGGUAAACGGCGGCCGUAACUAUAACGGUCCUAAGGUAGCGAAAUUCCUUGUCGGGUAAGUUCCGACCUGCACGAAUGGCGUAAUGAUGGCCAGGCUGUCUCCACCCGAGACUCAGUGAAAUUGAACUCGCUGUGAAGAUGCAGUGUACCCGCGGCAAGACGGAAAGACCCCGUGAACCUUUACUAUAGCUUGACACUGAACAUUGAGCCUUGAUGUGUAGGAUAGGUGGGAGGCUUUGAAGUGUGGACGCCAGUCUGCAUGGAGCCGACCUUGAAAUACCACCCUUUAAUGUUUGAUGUUCUAACGUUGACCCGUAAUCCGGGUUGCGGACAGUGUCUGGUGGGUAGUUUGACUGGGGCGGUCUCCUCCUAAAGAGUAACGGAGGAGCACGAAGGUUGGCUAAUCCUGGUCGGACAUCAGGAGGUUAGUGCAAUGGCAUAAGCCAGCUUGACUGCGAGCGUGACGGCGCGAGCAGGUGCGAAAGCAGGUCAUAGUGAUCCGGUGGUUCUGAAUGGAAGGGCCAUCGCUCAACGGAUAAAAGGUACUCCGGGGAUAACAGGCUGAUACCGCCCAAGAGUUCAUAUCGACGGCGGUGUUUGGCACCUCGAUGUCGGCUCAUCACAUCCUGGGGCUGAAGUAGGUCCCAAGGGUAUGGCUGUUCGCCAUUUAAAGUGGUACGCGAGCUGGGUUUAGAACGUCGUGAGACAGUUCGGUCCCUAUCUGCCGUGGGCGCUGGAGAACUGAGGGGGGCUGCUCCUAGUACGAGAGGACCGGAGUGGACGCAUCACUGGUGUUCGGGUUGUCAUGCCAAUGGCACUGCCCGGUAGCUAAAUGCGGAAGAGAUAAGUGCUGAAAGCAUCUAAGCACGAAACUUGCCCCGAGAUGAGUUCUCCCUGACUCCUUGAGAGUCCUGAAGGAACGUUGAAGACGACGACGUUGAUAGGCCGGGUGUGUAAGCGCAGCGAUGCGUUGAGCUAACCGGUACUAAUGAACCGUGAGGCUUAACCUU